rnacentral:rRNA from 1 species
UUUUAUGGAGAGUUUGAUCCUGGCUCAGGAUGAACGCUGGCGGCGUGCCUAAUACAUGCAAGUCGAGCGAACAGACGAGGAGCUUGCUCCUCUGACGUUAGCGGCGGACGGGUGAGUAACACGUGGAUAACCUACCUAUAAGACUGGGAUAACUUCGGGAAACCGGAGCUAAUACCGGAUAAUAUAUU